rnacentral:rRNA from 1 species
CCUACGGGAUGCUGCAGUGGGGAAUAUUGGACAAUGGGCGAAAGCCUGAUCCAGCCAUGCCGCGUGUGUGAAGAAGGCCUUCGGGUUGUAAAGCACUUUCAGUGGGGAAGAAAGCCUUGGGGCUAAUACCCUCGAGGAAGGACAUCACCCACAGAAGAAGCACCGGCUAACUCCGUGCCAGCAGCCGCGGUAAUACGGAGGGUGCGAGCGUUAAUCGGAAUUACUGGGCGUAAAGCGCGCGUAGGCGGUCUGAUAAGCCGGUUGUGAAAGCCCCGGGCUCAACCUGGGAACGGCAUCCGGGACUGUCAGGCUUGAGUGCAGGAGAGGAAGGUAGAAUUCCCGGUGUAGCGGUGAAAUGCGUAGAGAUCGGGAGGAAUACCAGUGGCGAAGGCGGCCCUCUGGACUGACACUGACGCUGAGGUGCGAAAGCGUGGGUAGCAAACAGGAUUAGAUACCCUAGUAGUC